AGAGCGACCAUGGCUGGUUAGAGAAUCCUGGGCCUCGUGGCAGGGAGAAGGGUUAGAAGAUUAGCUGAGCUGAAGCUUUUGGCAGGAAUGGUUUUCCAGAGGGGAAGAGAGAGGGCGCAGUGAGGAAGGCUGGGAGGCCCUGCAGGCGUGUUCAGAGCUGCUGGAGACACCGAAAGAGCCCAAAGGCAGAGUAGCUGGGCAUCCUUGUUGGAUACGGCAGAUAGGUGCUGGAGGGUGGCUGGCUUGGGCCAGGGCAGGGUUCAGCCCAGACUGCGGUUUAGCCACAUUGUAAAUCACCUUGUGAGGGCAAAAUGCAAAGAGGUGACCCUGCACAAGGACGGGCCCCUGGGGGAGACAGUCCUGGAGUGCUACAACUGCGGCUGUCGCAACGUCUUCCUCCUCGGCUUCAUCCCGGCCAAAGCUGACUCAGUGGUGGUGCUGCUGUGCAGGCAGCCCUGUGCCAGCCAGAGCAGCCUCAAGGACAUCAACUGGGACAGCUCGCAGUGGCAGCCGCUGAUCCAGGACCGCUGCUUCCUGUCCUGGCUGGUCAAGAUCCCCUCCGAGCAGGAGCAGCUGCGGGCACGCCAGAUCACGGCACAGCAGAUCAACAAGCUGGAGGAGCUGUGGAAGGAAAACCCUUCUGCCACGCUGGAGGACCUGGAGAAGCCGGGGGUGGACGAGGAGCCACAGCAUGUCCUCCUGCGGUACGAGGACGCCUACCAGUACCAGAACAUAUUCGGGCCCCUGGUC
rnacentral:sRNA from 1 species